ACUGCCCCUAGAGGCAUUGCAGGUGUGGCUGAUGUGUCACAUGUGUGAAAGUAGGUGGCAGAGAAGAGAAAGGCUAUGUCUAUGCUCAGUGUUCUGACCUAUGGACAUCUGAACAAUGUCCCUGAAAAA